GACGAACGCUGGCGACGCGCUUAACACAUGCAAGUCGAACGGAAAGGCCUGCUUUCCCUUGUGGAUUGCGGGUACUCGAGUGGCGAACGGGUGAGUAACACGUGAGUGAUCUGCCCCCAACUUGGGUAUAAGCCUGGGAAACUGGGUCUAAUUCCCGAUAGGACUGCAGGGUGGUGCCUGUGGUGGAAAACGAUUUUCUAGUGGUUGGGGAUGAGCUCGCGGCCUAUCAGCUUGUUGGUGGGGUAAUGGCCUACCAAGGCGGCGACGGGUAGCCGGCCUGAGAGGGUGGACGGCCACAUUGGGACUGGGUUACGGCCCAGACUCCUACGGGAGGCAGCAGUGGGGAAUAUUGGACAAUGGGCGGAAGCCUGAUGCAGCGACGCCGCGUGGGGGAUGACGGCCUUCGGGUUGUAAACUCCUUUCGACCGCGAGGAAGCCACCUGGUUGGAAGGGUGGUGACGGUAGUGGUAGAAGAAGCACCGGCUAACUACGUG
rnacentral:rRNA from 1 species